GGGCAGGGAUGUGCCCCCCAGCAGGUGGCAUGGCUCGCAGAGCACCAGGAGCAGCCGCCGUGUGUGCUGCUGCCAACGCCAUCCAGAGCUGGCCACCCGGUUAUCCCAGUGUGAACCAAGGGGGAAUGCUGGGCACUGGACCUCCUUAUGGACAGGAAACUAACAGCAUGGCUGGUGUGAUCAACUGCCAGGGCCCACCUUUUCCCAUGGGUGGGAAUGUGGCUCACGGCUCUGCAGGGGUGGCAGCAAGUCCU